CCUACGGGUGGCAGCAGUGAGGAAUAUUGGUCAAUGGGCUUACGCCUGAACCAGCCAAGUCGCGUGAGGGAAGACUGCCCUAUGGGUUGUAAACCUCUUUUGUCGGGGAGCAAGUGGCGCUACGUGUAGCCUUAUCGAUAGUCCCUGCAGACAGAGCAUCGACUAACGCCGUCCCAGCAGCCACGGUAAUACGGAGGAUGCGAGCGGGAUCCGGAUUGAUUGGGUUAAAGGGGUGCGUAGGCGGCAUGCCAAGUCAGCGGUAAAACCGCGGGGCUAAACCUGGAUCCGCCGUUGAAACUGGCGGGCUUGAGUGGGCGAGAAGUAUGCGGAAUGCGUGGUGUAGCGGUGAAAUGCAUAGAUAUCAGGCAGAACGCCGAUGGCGAAGGCAGCACACCGGAGACAAACUGACGCUGAAGCACGAAAGCGUGGGUAUCGAACAGGAUUAGAUACCCGUGUAGUC
rnacentral:rRNA from 1 species